CAUAAAUAAACUUUAUUAGUGAGUAUUUCUUUUACAUAGAAAAGGUAAUUGUGCAAAUCAAUUAUUUAUGA
rnacentral:tRNA from 1 species